rnacentral:rRNA from 1 species
GACGAACGCUGGCGGCGUGCUUAACACAUGCAAGUCGAACGGAGUGGCGAACGGGUGAGUAACACGUGGGUGACCUGCCCUGCACUUCGGGAUAAGCCUGGGAAACUGGGUCUAAUACCGGAUAGUGUGGGAUGGGCCGGCGGCCUAUCAGCUUGUUGGUGGGGUGAUGGCCUACCAAGGCGGCGACGGGGAGCCGGCCUGAGAGGGUGGACGGCCACAUUGGGGCUUAGACACGGCCCAGAGUCCUACGGGGGGCAGCGGUGGGGAACAUUGCACAAUGGGCGGAAGUCUGAUGCAGCGACGUCGGGUGGGGGAUGACGGCCUUCGGGUGGGAAACUCCUUUCACCAUCGACGCGGUAGAUGAAGAAGAAGCACCGGCUAACUACGUGCCAGCAGCCGCGGUAAUAG